rnacentral:rRNA from 1 species
AUGGGCCAGAUCACUCGUGGGCGACCUGCACGCCGUAUAGAAUUCGCCAAGCAAGACCGCAGCAACUAUUUAUCGCCUAAAGCGAUCGAAGUGGCAGUGCUCGCUGAAGCUUUUCCCCUGCUCGCGCUGUAUUGGGCCGGCCCGAUCACACGCGUGCAGUCGGAGGUGAAUCAAGGACGGGAAGUGAUACUGGGAUCACCCCGUGAUUGGCCCCGAUCCGCCCUACAGGAGAGAUCGGAGGAGGGAAGAUGCUUCAGGGUCCGCGAGAAGCCCAUCAACUCCUACCGCCGGCCCACGGGAUCAUCGGCCGUCUCCAAUGGCUAUGAUCCUCCGUGCUACUUCGUCACGAUAUUCAGUGGCGGAGACAAGGGCAUGCUGCCGCCGCGCGUCGCGCAGGUCGGUGUUGCUAUGACUUCCCGCGUGCCGGCUGUGGCGUCCCUUCACGGCAUGCUGCCGCCGCGCGUCGCGCAGGUCACACCUCGGGCUGCGGGCUCGAUCAGUCCCCCGUUGGGGCGCGCGGUAGCAAGUGGUCCUCGGGGUUGUGGUUGCUCGUCGGGAAUUAAGCAAGAGUGCCAUGCGUGUGGAAACCGCCAUAAGGAGUUGAGCAAAGAGAGCCCGACCCCCGCGUCGCCCGGCCGCGUCGCCCGAGCCGGGCGACUCAGGGGAAACCUAGCCACCGGCGCCUCGUCGCCCGCCCACCGCUCGCCCCCGCGUCGCUGUCUCCGGAGGGCCGGCCGGCAAAGCCGCGCUGGGCCCUGGGAUGGCGGCAGCGGGGCUGUCCUUCCUCCUCCCGCCCCAGCUCCUCCCCCACCCCUGGCGCCAGAUCUGGGUCGGCUGCGGCGGCGACCUCCCCCGGCCUCACCUGCUCGCUGGCGGCGCAGACGCCGUCUCCGGCUAGCUGCGGCGCUCCGGCCGGCCGGCCGGCCUCGGCAGGGCCCUGCUAGCUAUGGCUCCUCCCCCUCCGCCCCCCCGGCGAGUUCCGGGCCCGCCUCCUCGGGGGCCGGCCAUGGAGGCUGCUGGCUGCGGUUGUGCCCGUCGGAGUCUGCCUCCUUUGGCACGUCGGUCGGGUUUGGCUGCGCGCGAAUCCACGUCGACACCACCACCUCGCCCCACCCCCCGCUGCAGGGGCGGCUUCGGCCCGGCGGCAAUGGACCUGCGUCCCCUUCCUGCGUCUAUUGCCGGCCGGCGCGGCUUAGGACCCGACGAGCCUCGAAAGCUGCGCUCUUUCCGGCUUUCUUGGCUCUUUGGCUCCUCAGCAUAUCCGCACCAUCACCACCCUGCGGUGUCUUGGUUGGCCAUCCAUCCCGGUGCAUCUUCGUCACCGGCAUGCUCCAGGAGCUGCGUCCCCUUCCAGUUCCUUGGGCCCGCCGUCGUCCCUGCUGCUCCGGUCCUGGUGGCCCGGAUCCGCGUUCCUUCCGGAUCCUGGCUUAUCUGGGCCUAUGGUCACCGUCCCAUCCCCACUUCAUUCCGCGCAGCCACGCAUCCUUAUCCUCCUCCGGAGUUCGCGCACCCGGUGAUGCACGAUGCCUCCUUUGGCACCGCGCGUGGCUCCCCUUCCUGCAGUCGCAUCACCAGCCUACACCCGAUGACCUCCUCUUUGACUCGUGUUCCGACGGCUUGGGAUUGCUUGGAAUUGGCCAGGGCGAAAGCCCUGCAUCUUUUGCUGGCAGCGGCGACACCCGCGGGAAAAAAAAUGUCUUCGAGAUGAACGCCUCUCCUCUCCCCCUCUGUGUGCCUCAAUUAUGGAUCGUAAGCAGCACCUUAUUUGACACUUUCUCUGUUACCCAUGUCAGUAGGGAGAUUAAUAUUCCGGCUCACCUUUGUGCAAGAUUAGCCAGCACAAUAGAGUGGACGGAGAGCUGGCUCGAUAUAAAUCACCCGCGGCAUGGCACCCUUUACUCAGAACCAUUUGGAGAAUUGAACAGUCAGAAUUUGUCGCUGCGGAAUCGGUUAACGCAACUAAUUCGUGGAGCUAGCUGGCUUUCUGCAUCAAGAAGCCAAGCCCUAGAACGAGCAGGCAUUGCCGUUCACGAUCCCGCAAAUGCCAAAAAUGUGCCUUUUGCGGUUGGAUCCCACUGUCGAUUCAUGCUACUUAAACCGCCAUGGCGCCAUAUCCCAUUCCCACCCAAGAUGCAGCUGCUCCCGGCAGCCUGCCGUAUCCUCUCCCUCGUCCUCGUACUGCUGCUCCUCUCAGCCACCGGCGCCGCACCAGUCGAUGGCGACACGGCGUCCAGCAACGCGGCGGCAUUGACGUCGGCGGCCGGCGGCAACUCCUCAGCGCUGACAUCGGCGGUGGACGAGACCAUAGAGACGUACCUCUGCCACAUCUGCCUCGGCCGCGACCUGUUGAACAGGAGGGUCUGCCCCACCUACUGGCCCGACUGCCACGCCCUCUGCGACCCGCACCCGCCGCCCGCCGCCGGCGCGGUUCCCGCCGGCCCUCCUGCGUUGCCGGCCGUCCCCAAUCGCGAUGAUCCGUGCUACGUCGUGAAGAUAUACAACAACGGCACCCACACCGUCGUCCAGUACCUGGACUGCAGGCUGACCCGCUGGUGCUCCCUCACGUGUGGCGGAGGCGACGACGUGAGAGCCUUGGGUGCUGCUGCGACCUCCCCCGCGCCGGCAACUCCGUCGUCCCUUCAGGGCAUGCCGCCGCCGCGCGUCGCCGAAAGGCGGGUGUGCAACUCGCAGGUCACGGCUCGGGGUCGACCUGUCCCCGGUGGCGCGCGCGCACGCUCUCGGCUCGGAUGA